UUUCUACUCCCUCCGUCCAAAAAUACUUGUCGUCAAAAUGGAUAAAAAUAGAUGUAUCUAAAACUAAAAUACGUCUAGAUACAUUUCCUUUUAUCCAUUUUGAUGACAAGUAUUUCCGGACGGAGGGAGUAUUUG
rnacentral:pre_miRNA from 1 species